rnacentral:rRNA from 1 species
UACGUAGGGGGCAAGCGUUGUCCGGAUUUAUUGGGCGUAAAGAGCGUGCAGGCGGCUAGAUAGGUCCGUUGUGAAAACUCGAGGCUCAACCUCGAGACGCCGGUGGAAACCAUCUAGCUAGAGUCCGGAAGAGGAGAGUGGAAUUCCUGGUGUAGCGGUGAAAUGCGCAGAUAUCAGGAAGAACACCCGUGGCGAAGGCGGCUCUCUGGUACGUGACUGACGCUGAGACGCGAAAGCGUGGGGAGCGAACAGG